rnacentral:rRNA from 1 species
AACGCGAAGAACCUUACCAAGGCUUGACAUACAGCGAAAAGUGGCAGAGAUGUCAUGUCCGCAAGGGCGCUAUACAGGUGGUGCAUGGUUGUCGUCAGCUCGUGUCGUGAGAUGUUGGGUUAAGUCCCGCAACGAGCGCAACCCUCGUUCUGUGUUACCAGCAUUAUGUCGGGGACUCAUAGGAGACUGCCGGGGUCAACUCGGAGGAAGGUGGGGAUGACGUCAAAUCAUCAUGCCCCUUAUGUCUUGGGCUGCACGCAUGCUACAAUGGCCGGUACAAAGUGCUGCGAAAUCGUAAGAUUUAGCGAAUCACAUAAAGCCGGUCUCAGUUCGGAUUGAGGUCUGCAACUCGACCUCAUGAAGUCGGAGUUGCUAGUAAUCGUAGAUCAGCAACGCUACGGUGAAUACGUUCCCGGGUCUUGUACACACCG